UUUUUAUCUAGACUGUGUCUUUAAAGUGGUGGAAAUGACCAAUUCUGUGUCUUAGGAGGGAGGUGGCAUGAAGCCGGGAAAUGACUGAGGAAGGGAUACUGAUAUGAAAUGAUUUAUUUCUGGAAAAUGCUCUUGGACUGUCCCCCUUCAGGUGUCCUGGUGCAGGCUUUCAGGGAAGGGAGAGCCCCUAACCUCGCCCCACCUCCCAAAACUUCUCCCCCUGCCGUCGGGCUAUGGGGGGACAAGGACUGAACGGGGUAGUGGGAGCCAGGUCCCUGGUUCCCUUCACGCCCCCACCCCCAGCCUCAGCUCUGUCUGGGUGGAACGAAUGUCUGCUAAUGAACUAAACAAACAGGUCUCUUAAUCUUAUCAUGGAGCUGACCCAGAGACUGGCACAGAUAUCCAAAGUAUCAUAAUUGGCAGGUCAGAAUUAAAACUACAUACAUCAUGGUGACUUUAUAGCUGAGGCAAAGUGGAGCUCAAGUGUUACUUUCCCAGUAAGCAAAUCAUGAUGAAGUAUCAUGCUGGUGACUAAUUUAACUAACAUUGUCCAGGAAAUUGCUGUUGUCCAGGAAGAGAAGAGUUGAGCCGAGUGUCAACUACUAGGCUUCUGGCACCAUCCUGCACAAGAAAUUGGAGCAUAAGGGACAUUUCCACAUUCUAACUUUACAUGAAGACUCAGGACUUUGAAAGCCCAUGAGAAAG
rnacentral:lncRNA from 1 species